GGCCUCUCAGGGUCGCACCUGGAGAGUUUCCAGUACUCUACCAGUCUCGACUAUGGGAGGGAGAGUCAAGCAGACGCAUACCCAUUCCAUUCCUAGCUUGGGUAGUGGCAAGAAAGUGGAAAGCAAUCAGCUGCAGGU